rnacentral:rRNA from 1 species
GGACUACCGGGGUAUCUAAUCCUGUUUGCUCCCCACGCUUUCGCACCUCAGCGUCAGUAUCAGUCCAGCGAGUCGCCUUCGCCACUGGUGUUCCACCGAAUAUCUACGAAUUUCACCUCUACACUCGGUAUUCCACUCGCCUCUCCUGACCUCGAGAUCUGCAGUCUUGAAGGCAAUUCCAGGGUUGAGCCCUGGGCUUUCACCCCCAACUUACAGACCCGCCUACGUGCGCUUUACGCCCAGUAAUUCCGAACAACGCUAGCCCCCUUCGUAUUACCGCGGCUGCUGGCAC